GUAGCUUCCUUGUCGUGUGGCCUCAGUCCUUCGCCGUCCCUCGCCGUCCUUCGCCAUCGCACGCCACCGCACCCCAUCUCUCGAAAUCUGCAGACAUCUUGAUUUUUCCCACGCUGUCUGUCAGGUCUCCGCCGCCACUCGACGCCAGGGCGCCGGGCCUUGUGGGCUGUGCUGCACCUCGGACGGCUUCGCACCAGCCAGCGCCCUCUCUCUCCUGCAGCACUCUGAUCUGCACCCCCUGAGGGGCUUCCACUGUCCGCGGGGUGAGAAUGCCCCUGGGAGUGUCACAUGACUGCCGCCCCAUGUGUGUGAGAGGCGUCCUCUGGGAGAGCAUGGAUCCUGAGGUCCCAGGAACAUCCCGAGAGCCAAGUUCCCAGAUGCCAGCCAAGGGCCAUCUGACCUGUUUUGAAUCUCAAUUUCCUGAUACAGAAAACAAAGGAUUGUCAGCUGACCUCUGUCCUGUGUGCCCAGUGGCCCCAGGUGACGUGUCUUCAAGAAGAGGCUGAGCUGCGGUGCUUGUAAGGCAGGGUCUCAUUCUGUCACCCAGGCUGGAGUGCAGUGGUGCAAUGAUGGCUCACUGCAGCCUCGACCUGGGCUCAAGUGAUCCUCCACCUCAGCUUCCUGAGUAGCUGGGACCACAGAGUCAUGUGCUGUUCCUGGGGCUUGGAUGAUGUAGGGGAAGCAAGGUGAAAGUGGUAUCCCGUGGUUCCACGUUCUGUCCUGCUGUGGGGCUGUCCCUCACAUGCUUUCAGUGGCUGUUGCAGAGGAAGAGCCUCCGGAAAUCUGCGUCUCAGCCUUAGAUCCAAGGACAGUCCAAGGAAGUCCUAAGACCAUGGAGUUGGUGAUCUGGGAUCUGGGUUUGCUGAUAUUUCUCACCGUGAAUCUCUUGGUGGUGUUUGUGGGCACGAGAGGGGCAGAGAAUGGAGAGUGAGGCUACCACAUGAAGCGUCACCAGAGCUGCUCCCUGCUGCCUGCUCAGAGCACCCCGGAUCCACUGUUCAAUCUGCACAAGAUUCGGGGUCCAGACAUGGGAGACUUCAGCUGCCUCAGAGGACCGUGGACAGGGAAGGCCAGCCUCGCAUCCCUCUGUCCAUGCCUGGAAUGACUUUAAUAACCAAGAGUUUUAUUUUUGAAUUUGUAGCUGUCGUUCACUUUUUACCCACCCAUUCAAUAAACCUUACAGAAUUGC
rnacentral:lncRNA from 1 species